rnacentral:rRNA from 1 species
UACGGAGGGUGCAAACGUUGCUCGGAAUCAUUGGGCGUAAAGCGCACGUAGGCGGUCCGGUAAGUCGGAUGUGAAAGCCCUCGGCUCAACCGAGGAAGUGCAUUCGAAACUGCCGGACUUGAGUACGGGAGAGGGAUGCGGAAUGCCCGGUGUAGAAGUGAAAUUCGUAGAUAUCGGGAGGAACACCAGUGGCGAAGGCGGCAUCCUGGACCGAUACUGACGCUGAGGUGCGAAAGCGUGGGGAGCAAACAGG